UACAGAGGUCCCAAGCGUUGUUCGGAUUCACUGGGCGUAAAGGGUGCGUAGGCGGUUGGGUAAGUCUGAUGUGAAAGCUCGGAGCUUAACUCCGAAAUGGCAUCGGAAACUAUUCGACUUGAGGAUUGGAGGGGAGACUGGAAUUCUCGGUGUAGCAGUGAAAUGCGUAGAUAUCGAGAGGAACACCAGUGGCGAAGGCGAGUCUCUGGACAAUUCCUGACGCUGAGGCACGAAAGUCAGGGGAGCAAACGGG
rnacentral:rRNA from 1 species